UACGAAGGGGGCGAGCGUUGUUCGGAAUUACUGGGCGUAAAGGGCGCGUAGGCGGCCCUAGAAGUCAGGCGUGAAAGCCCCGGGCUCAACCUGGGAAUUGCGCUUGAUACUCUGGGGCUUGAGUUCGGGAGAGGAGAGUGGAAUUCCCAGUGUAGAGGUGAAAUUCGUAGAUAUUGGGAAAGAACACCGGUGGCGAAGGCGGCUCUCUGGACCGAGACUGACGCUGAGGCGCGAAAAGCGUGGGGGAGCAAACAGG
rnacentral:rRNA from 1 species